AAAUCAAAAUUUAAAUCUAAAUCAAAAUUUAAAUCAAAAUCAAAAUCAAAAUCGAAGUCCUAC
rnacentral:rRNA from 12 species